GGACCGUCCCGAGCGCUCUGGCCAAUCCUCCGGGUAGGCGGGUAGGCGGCGUCCGGCCGCUGCGCCGCCGGGAGUCUCUGAUAAGGCUGAAGUCACAAUGUGAAACUGUUAAUUUUAAUCCGAAAGGAGGCAAAACAUUGGCCUGAAUUUAACAAAUCCGAUUAAAGAUUUGGGACUUCACUCCAAAAAAUGUUACAUGCACAAAACCUCGACUAUUUCCGGAGUUCAGCUACCUCCAUGAAGCCAUCAAUGGACCUCACUGAAGAGCUAGAAGUCUAAAUAGCACCGUG